GUUCACCUUGCUGGAGAGAGGCGCGCGCCCGGAUGAGCUCGCGUCCACCGAAGGAGCAAACCCUUGUUACGGGUGAAUCUCUCAGGUAAAGCGGACAGCAGGGGCCGC
rnacentral:ncRNA from 1 species